AGGGAUCGUGGUGAGGGUGGCUCGUGGGUCCCCCUCGUGGGGAGCAGGGUCUGGCACUCACCAGGGCGCAGGACUAGGACUUGUCGAAUGAAUCCAUCCUUUUAGCUUUUAGUCCUUUGAAGAGCCUUGAGAAUGGAAAUCAUGAGAGAUUUUUCCAUGGGGAAGUUCCUUUUACAAAGCAUUUAUUUACGUUGACUUCUUGGCACCCCGCGGGGCGGCAACGGGCAGGGCCUCCAGUGCACCUUCUGCGCCGUGGAGCCGCGGGGGCUCAGCUGGGCGGUGGUCGGGUCCUGAGGCCGGAGGG
rnacentral:lncRNA from 1 species